UGAACUUCAAGACACACAGAAAAUUCUUACAGCUUCCAGAAUCUACUGGAUCUCAGCAGAGUAUCCCAGUUGCUAGCCAUUUACAGAGGAGUGGUGUUUCUGCAGUUCGAUGCAGCAAUCAGGCAUCAAUUAUGGCUGGCUCAAGACUUUGAAGGAUACCAGUAUCACUUGAAGGAUACCAGUAUCACUUCAUCCUUGAAGAGCCAAAAUUACUGUGUUACUGUAAGUUUUGUCAUAUUUUCUUCCCUUUUCUCAGCUCUUUGAUGGGUAUAUUUAACACUGGG
rnacentral:lncRNA from 1 species